UACGUAGGGGGCAAGCGUUGUCCGGAAUCAUUGGGCGUAAAGAGCGUGUAGGCGGUCCGGUAAGUCGGUUGUGAAAGUCGGGGGCUCAACCCUCGGAUGCCGGUGGAUACUGUCGGGCUUGAGUACGGAAGAGGCGAGUGGAAUUCCUGGUGUAGCGGUGAAAUGCGCAGAUAUCAGGAGGAACACCAAUUGCGAAGGCAGCUCGCUGGGACGUUACUGACGCUGAGACGCGAAAGCGUGGGGAGCAAACAGG
rnacentral:rRNA from 1 species